CUAACAAGCUGGGAUCUGUGGAGAGAAGAAUUUCACUGUGGGUGCUGGCUAAGCACGGAGAAGAGAGCGGCUGGGAGAGCACACUGGAUGUCAGUACUGUCAAGCCUUCAUUUCACCUGUCAGCACGGUGAAUGACGUACAAGCACUUGUUUGCCCUUCCUGUGGUCUUCUCUUGCGUGUCCUGACAGGCGCAGGCCUCCGGUGCGGCUCACUUCGUCUCCUGCUACAGUAGGUCUCUAUUCUACGGACGACAGCAGCUCUCCCGCCCCGCCGUAGAAUCCUUCCUGCCCCGGCCAGGUGACAGCAGGUGAGAAAAUAGCCGUGUUAUCAGACAAGAGACUGGAUGAGACCUGUCUACAAUGGGCCCACAUAU